rnacentral:rRNA from 1 species
AUAGGAACCUGUUCUAUAAUUGAUAAUCCACGAUUAAUUGUACUUAAUUUAAUAGUUUGUAUAUCGUCGUUGUUGAAUGUCUUAGGAGAGAAAAAAUGUUCAUGAUUUAAAAUUUUAUUUAUAAAAAAAAUCAGAUCAAGAUACAGUUUAUAAUUAAGAAGAAAUGGGUUACAAUAAAAUUAUUUUUUGGUUAUAAUAAUUAACAUUAUUAUUUAAAUUGGAUUUGAAAGUAAUAUAUUUAAGUUAAAAUAUAUGAUUUAAGCUCUAAAAUAUGCACAUAUUGCCCGUCGCUUCCGUUGAUUUUUAAAAAUGGAAUAAGUCGUAACAUAGUAGAUGUACCGGAAGGUGUAUCUAGAAAGACUUCAAAUUAGAGCUUGAUAAGAAAGUAUUUUAUUUACAUUAAAAAGAUAAAUUGGGUAGAUCGAUUUAAUUUGAAUUUAAAAAUUUAUUUAAAAAUUUAUUUAAUUUUUUUUUAAAAAAAAUAUUUUUAUGUUUUUAAUAAUUUAGAUAAAAUUAUUAUAAUAAUAGUUUAUUAGUAUAGUGUUAGAAUAUAAAUUUAAUAAUUAAAAUUAAUAAAAGAAAAAUUAAUUUUUUGUACCUUGUGUAUCAGGGUUUAUUAAAUAAAAAUUAUAUAUUUAAUUUUCUCGAAUUUAAAAGAGUUAAAAAAUUAUAAAUUUUAUUGUUAAAUAAAUAUUUAAAAUAAUUUUUUAGUAAUGAAACGUUAGUCGUUUUUAAAUUUAUCUAGUUUUUUAAGAAAUAAAUUUAAUUUAGUUAAUUUUUUUAAUAAAAAUAAUUGGUAUAUUUUUAAUUAAUAUUUUUAAUUAAUAUUUUAAGGGAUAAGCUUUAAGAUAAAAUUUUUAUAAAUUUAAAAUUAUUAAUAUUAAAUUAGUAGAGUUAGAAGUUUUUUUCAUUAAUAUUGUGUUAUAACAAAUUUAAUAUUUAAAAUAUAAUUUUUGUAUAAUUUUAAAUAAUUUAUUAAAAUUAUUUAUUUAAUAAUAAAAUUUAUGUAAUAAUGAUAGAAUUAGUAUAAUUUAAUGUUUAAAAUUUUUAUUAAAGUAAGGUUAAUUUAAGGAAUUCGGCAAUUUAUUUUUUCGCCUGUUUAUUAAAAACAUGUCUUUUUGAUUAUAAUUUAAAGUCUAACCUGCCCAAUGAAUUAGUUUAGUUUUAAUGGCUGCGGUAUUUUGACCGUGCAAAGGUAGCAUAAUAAUUAGUUUCUUAAUUAGGAACUGGUAUGAAUGGUUGGACGAAAAGAAAACUGUCUCAGUUUAAUUUUAAUUAGAAUUUUAUUUUUAAGUUAAAAAGCUUAAAUAAUUUUAAAAGACGAGAAGACCCUAUAGAGUUUUAUAAUUAUUAAUAUAUUUAAAAAUUAAAGUAUUAUUUUAAUUUAUUUAUA